UGAAAUGUAAAAGGAUGGGACCCUCUAGGUGAAGCAGGACCCUCCACAUAAAUCCUUUAAAGUGACGUAUUAAAUGUGUAUUUCCUGCAGCCUGGCCUGUGAACUGGAGGUGACAGUGGGAGUCUGAGUGCCAUCGCUGCCUCCUCCUCUGAAUACAGCAGCUGCAGAGCGCCACAAAGACAACAAUGCUCUCGCCAGCGGAGGGGGUUCGCUGCACCGUGGUGAUGUUGGACAGCUCUGCAAAGACCCCCGUGUGGAAUUUUAUUAAUUUGCAUUUAUCGUUUUACGCUCCCGCUCCCACCGAAACACCAGGUCUGGCACAGCGGAGUCAUGGUAUGGCGAUGCUGCAGAGGUCUGGGACAGGAACAAACAAGCCCAAACUUGGCCUGAAGCCAAUGAGCCAUCCACAUGGUCCCUGUUGAUGAGCCCCCUGCUGGCUGACACUUUGUACUAAUUGAUCAUUUAAAUAAAGUUUUUUUCGAGUCCAGUUUGUCAUCAUGAUCACUGGGAGAAACAUCCAUCGACAUCCUGGUAGGUGAGUAACAUGGAGAACUCAACUUCUGAGAGAUUAAAGAACACAAAGUCACCUACAAGACGAUUGCUGAGGAGACGUUGCAGAAGAAGUGGUGUAGAUGAACUGAGUCCCAGCUGGCACACACCAAAAACACACUCAACAGUUGCCGUCCUGAAUCAGAAAGGUCAAAGGUCAACAUCAGAUGCAUAACAGCACCCUGGGAACCGGAAGGGACUUUGGCAGUUGCCACACUGAAUCAGAAAGGUCAAAGGUCAACAUCAGAUGCAUAACAGCAAACUGGGAACUGGAAGGGAUUUGCUGUCUUUCUGCAGGACACUUUGGCAGGGACGCAGCGAGCACGGCGAGGAUGAAGAAUCAGAAGCUCUUCUCUCGUAAACGCAAGAGGUUCAACAACAACAGGACCUCAGAGAGUACACGUCAUCUACAACCCUACAUUUCACUGUUGUCAUAUGAAUACAUACUAUUGGACCCACUACACCUUCUGCUGGUGCUGUCAACGCUACAGUUAUGAGACAGUCGAUGGCACAAGAAUGGGAAUAAAACAAAAUGAAUAAACUGUGUGAACUUAUUUGCUGCCUUCAAAUGAAAACUGUGAGCUUGUGGUUACGACAUGGGAAGUCGUGUACACCAUAUGCUUGGCAAGCUUUUU